AUACCUUUCUCGGCCUUUUGGCUAAGAUCAAGUGUAGUAUCUGUUCUUAUCAGUUUAAUAUCUGAUAUGUGGGCCAAUGGUCCACACGAUAUUAAAUUUAUUUUUUCAGGGGAAAAGCCUCUCUAAUAGCUUGCUAUCUUGGCUUUUGAGUGUGGCUUAUGUUUUGCACUAUUGCAUAAGCCUGCGCACCCCAU